ensembl:lncRNA
AAGAACGGGUAAUCCCCUAUAACAACCCUUUGGUACUUUCACUUCUCAAAAUAAAUUGUUAAAUCAGCAUUAGACAUUGGUGGGCGUGGUCUAGAGGCAGGGGGCGGUCGGUCACGGCUGUCAAUCAGGAACCACUGAUGGGCUGUCUGCAAAGAGUUUAACUGACGUCACUUACAAGUACACCGUGGAUUGAGGCAGUUCCAUCUGGUGUUCAGGUACUUUCUCGGAAUCACAAUCAGAAUCAUAAACAGAAUUAAUUUUAUUCAAUCUUACAAGUACACAAGAGUAACAUUCUACGGCAUUCUUCCUCAACAGCCACAUAGCAGCAACAAUACAAGAUAAAGUAAAUGCACAUAAGUAAAAAUAAGUUUCACACGUGUAAAGUGAUCAAGUGGUAGUGGUACUGGCCCAGGUUGAUGUGCAGAAACACUGUGCAAUUACAGAAAAAUAUGUACUGAGAUAGUCUUUAGUGUUGCUGUAAUAUAUUUUUUUAUUACUAUUUUAGUCUUUCUUAGUCUUUCUGUUUCCCUGGCGGGGUUUGGGGUUAUCUCCAGCCCUCAGGUGAGUGUCAGGUCUUACAUCAAUGACCUCGAGCUUCUCCAUGCAAACCAAUCAAGCACAGGAGGGUGUUCAGUGUCUCAUUCCCCGGAGAUGCCCCCACUGAGCGACACAGGAAGUCAUUCCUGCCUGCGGCGAUCAGGCUUCUCACCUCUCACCCUGACUGAGAUGUGCUGGCCCUUAGACCUGCUCCAACCCUGUCGCUGAUAUAUCAUUUAUAUCUUCAACUCUGCCCUACUUACUCUACUGGAAAUGUUGUUGUUGUACAAUUGCUCAAUAAUUCAUCUGUGCACUUCCCUGUCUAUCUCUCUAUUUAUAGAUUCCAGUGCUCAGCAUUAAUAUUUAAACUGUUAUCAUAAAUUGUGCAUGUGUAAUUGUCUUAAACUGUAUAUCAUAGUAUAAUAUACAGAAUUGUACAUAUUUCUUAUUUCCUAUUUUCAAUUUCCUUAUCCAUUUCCUGUGCUAAUAUAUAUUCAUAUUAUACAAUGGGAACCACUUUUAAAAAAAAU